rnacentral:rRNA from 1 species
GAACGAACGCUGGCGGCGCGCCUAAUACAUGCAAGUCGAGCGAGAAGACGUAGCAAUACGUUUGUAAAGCGGCGAACGGGUGAGGAAUACAUGGGUAACCUACCCUCGAGUGGGGAAUAACUAGCCGAAAGGUUAGCUAAUACCGCGUACGCUCCUUGGACUUCGGUUCAGGGAGGAAAGCGAUACCGUGGGUAUCGCGCUCUUGGAUGGGCUCAUGUCCUAUCAGCUUGUUGGUGAGGUAACGGGCUCACCAAGGCUUCGACGGGUAGGCUGGUCUGAGAGGACGAUCAGCCACACUGGCACUGCGACACGGGCCAGACUCCUACGGGAGGCAGCAGUAAGGAAUAUUGCGCAAUGGGCGAAAGCCUGACGCAGCGACGCCGCGUGGGGGAGUGAA